UUGAACGCUGGCGGCAUGCUUUACACAUGCAAGUCGAACGGCAGCGCGGGCUUCGGCCUGGCGGCGAGUGGCGAACGGGUGAGUAAUGCAUCGGAACGUGCCCAGUAGUGGGGGAUAGCCCGGCGAAAGCCGGAUUAAUACCGCAUACGACCUGAGGGUGAAAGCGGGGGACCGAAAGGCCUCGCGCUAUUGGAGCGGCCGAUGUCGGAUUAGCUAGUUGGUGGGGUAAAGGCUUACCAAGGCGACGAUCCGUAGCUGGUCUGAGAGGACGACCAGCCACACUGGGACUGAGACACGGCCCAGACUCCUACGGGAGGCAGCAGUGGGGAAUUUUGGACAAUGGGGGCAACCCUGAUCCAGCCAUGCCGCGUGCGGGAAGAAGGCCUUCGGGUUGUAAGCCGCUUUUGUUCGGGAAGAAAUCCUCUGGGCUAAUACCCCGGGGGGAUGACGGUACCGGAAGAAUAAGCACCGGCUAACUACGCG
rnacentral:rRNA from 1 species